UAAAUUGAACUCCUCAUGUGAGAAUUCUCAGGGGUUUUUUUUGCUUUAUUUUACUGUAAUUAUCCAAGAGCAGGCAUAGUAAUAUGACACUGGUUUAAGUAAACGUACUAUUAGUGGGGGAGGAAAGAAUAACUAGCAAGUUCUAUCAGUUAAGAGCUGGAGCAAAGAGGAACAGAAGUGUAGCAGUUUGCAUAAUGUUUUAAGUGAGAUCCUGAAAUCAGUGGUUUGGACGACAGAACAUAGAUUACAAUCAUCUCACUGUGGUGGUUUUAUCUGUGACAGCAUGUGCUAUAUAAAUGAAUGGCCAAAAAGGUUUCUGAAAACAUUUAUUCAACAGUACAGUGAUUAUCAGGUUAAUCUACUAAUUGACAAUGAAGCAGAGAAGGAUUACCUUUAUGAUGUGCUGCGGAUGUACCACCAGUCUAUGAAUCUCCCAGUGUUUGUGGGGGACCUAAAACUUGUGAUUAACGAACCAAGCAGGUUGCCUCUAUUUGAUGCUAUCCGCCCACUUAUCCCGUUAAAACACCAGGUCGAAUAUGAUCAGCUUACACCCAAAAGAUCACGAAAGCUGAAAGAAGUGAGAUUGGAUCGUAUGCAUCCUGAAGGACUUGGAAUAAGUGUGAGAGGUGGACUGGAAUUUAGCUGCGGCCUCUUUAUCUCCCAGUUAGUUAAAGGAGGACAGGCAGACAAUGUUGGACUUCAGGUUGGAGAUGAGAUAGUGCGUAUAAAUGGAUAUUCCAUUUCAUCAUGCACACAUGAAGAAGUCAUAAACCUAAUUCGUACAAAGAAAAUAGUGUCCAUAAAAGUAAGACAUAUUGGCAUGAUACCUGUCAAAAGUUCAGCAGAUGAACCCCUUAAAUGGCAAUACGUGGACCAGUUUGUGUCAGACUCUGGGGAAGGAAAGGGCAGUGUUGCUGGUCUUGCUUCUUCUGGAGGGAGAGACAAUAAAGAGAAGAAAGUCUUCAUUAGCUUGAUUGGUACAAAGGGCAUGGGAUGCAGUAUUUCCAGUGGACCAACACAAAAACCGGGCAUUUUUAUCAGCAAUGUUAAGCCAGGUUCACUUUCAGCAGAGGUGGGAUUAGAGGUCGGUGAUCAGAUUGUUGAAGUAAAUGGAGUGGACUUCUCUAAUGUGGAUCAUAAAGAGGCUGUCAGAGUGCUCAAAAGUAGUCGUACUUUGACGAUCUCUGUGGUAGCAGGCGCUGGAAAGGAGCUGUUCAUGACUGAAGAAGAAAGGCAGAGAGAAGCGCGUCUCCGUGAGCAAGAACGCCAGGAGUUAAUGCAUCAGAAGCGACUUGCACUGGAGACUAACAAAAUCAUCAAAGAGCAGCAAGAGAAAGAGAGAUUAAGAAAACUGGAGAUUUCCCAGAAGGCUGCAGAGGAGGAAGAGCGAUAUCGCAGAGAAAUAGAGCAGAUAACAGCAGAAGAAGAGAAAUUUAAAAAGGAGUGGGAAGAAGACUGGGGUCCUAAAGAACCUCCCAAAUCACUAAAAACUGUAACAGCAGAAGUGCAUUCUGCCCCUCGUUCCAAACACAAAACUUUUGGAUGGUUUUAUCGGUAUGAAGGAAAAUUUCCCACAAUCCGCAAGAAAGGAAAAGAAAGAAAGAAGUCAAAAAGUGACAGUUUUUGCGAACAGAAGAAGAAUAAAAAGGAAAUGGAGUUUGAGCAAAAACUUGCCAAAGAGAAAGAAGGAAUGUUGGAGAAAGAAAAGCAGCUGAAAAUAAAUCGUCUCGUGCAAGAGGUAUCUGAGACAGAACGAGAAGACCUGGAAGAAUCAGAAAAGGUGCAGCACUGGGUGGAAAGACUUUGUCAGACACGGUUAGAACAGAUUUCCUCUGUGGAGAAUGAAUCGCCUGAGUUGGCAAGUGGACGUCCUUCUGCUUCUCCUUCUGCCACAUCAAUGCGGCGUUUUGCCGGUGGCCUGCAGCUUCACACCACAGAUCUUGAUGAUAUAAACUUAGAUGAAGUUGACAAGCCUAAACAACGUGUGGCACCACCUCCGCCACCACCACCCACCGUUACUCCAGCAUCAUCAACUCAUCUACUUCCUACACCAAAUGUUCCACUUCCAAGAGGUCCAGCCCUGGCAGUAACACCAGCUUCCCAGGUUGUAAGAAACACCUCCCAUGUCGGCAAAGUAUCUUCUGUGUCAAGCAAUCCGCUGCAACUUGCUCCAAGUCCACCUACCCAACGACAUCCAGGGGUACCAAUAGUCUCUAAACCAGUCAUGCUGCAUCCUGACCCAAACUUUAUGGUCAGGCCAACAAUCAAAUCAGAGGCCCUGCCACAAGAGAUGUUUAAAAGGAUGGUGGUUUACAAUUCAUCAUUUAGAUCUAACAAAAAACAAGGCUUCCAGAAAUACGUGGAAGAUUUUGAUCCAUAUUCAAUGUUUACCCCAGAGCAGAUUAUGGGAAAAGAUGUACGGCUAUUACGAAUUAAAAAGGAAGGAUCAUUAGAUCUUGCAGUCGAGGGAGGAAUUGAUUCUCCAAUUGGAAAGAUAGUCGUGUCUGCCAUCUAUGAGGAUGGUGCUGCAGAUAAACAUGGAGGCAUAGUGAAAGGGGAUGAAAUAUUAGCUGUAAAUGGCAAGAUAUUAAUUGACAGCAGGCUGUCAGAAGCACAGGCAACUCUAGCAAAAGCUUGGAACAUGGGUGGGGACUGGAUUGACUUAGUCAUUGCGGCAUCACCUCCAAAGGAAUAUGAUGAUGAAAUCCCUACUAUUCCCUCAUCAACAGUCAGUCCCAACACACAGAGAAAGGUUUUUGAAGGCAGUGCACCAGUGUACAGACAAGGGUAUCUCCUGCAGCUGUAGCAACUGCAGUGUUCCCUCAUGGUGAAUAGCCAGACCUGGGUUAACAUGACUGUCCAUUGACAUUUUUUUAAAGAAGGCUACACUGGAGAAAUGAAGUCUUUCCCCUGCAGAAACCUGCUGCUCUGUAAAUUGAUAUGAAAUCAAUAACCAUAUGAAAUACAUCUUUAUUUAAAGAAACGUGAAUAAUCAGACCUGUAAAUUGAACUAGAGACCAGAUUCUUCGGGUAAUUUGAGUAAUUUCAAAUUCUACAGGCAUACAGCAAGAGAUUUUUGCAAGAUCAUUGAAAAGGACUGCCAGUGAGCAUAGUUUGGUCUGUGAGAACUGAGUCUAUAUUUUGCUAUUUUGGGGGGCCAAAUUUUGAAAGUUAUCUUCCCAUUUUCUUGGAAAUAGACACUAAAAUGACAAAUGAAGAUAGAACACAGAUGUCUGUUCCCACAUGCAACACUUGUGAUUACACGUUCACAGGCCAGUUUGGGUGUGAAAAGGAUUAUAUUUUUACUCCGUACAUAGUGAUUUUCCCUGGGAAAGCGGGAAUGUAUAUAGGUAACUUCUGUUCUCGCUCGUAUUCUUGUAGCUCUCUUAAUGUCCAUUUCUAUUGCUCGGUUGUGAGUUGUUUUGAGUAUAAAAACCCUGCCAGCAGAAGAACCAGUAACACUAGGAGUGCUAGCAUUAUAAGGAGUAAUUUUGGUGAUGCUUAUACAGUAUAAGGAGUCUUCUCUACCAGCAAAGUAAAUAGCUAGCAAGUAGUCCAGAUAAAAUCAUUAUGUGUAGUCACAGUUAUGCUACCAAGUAUUUGUAUUGAUGGCAAAAAUUACUCCCUCAUAUAGUCAUGCAUGGAAAAUUUGGGUGUGAUUCAGUCUGCAGUUAUGUACUUUGUUCUCAGUGAGUCUAUAUGUGUGACUAAACUGUGCAGGAAGUCACUAAGUCUAAGGUUUCACUCUUGGUGACUAUAUGUCUUCUGAUAAGCAUAUUCCUCAAGACCAUAAAAUCUAUACUAACCUAGCUUUAAAUAAGUAUGAUUACAGUUGUAGACUUUUUUUUUUUUUUUGGUAUUAUCAAGAUACCUCCUUAGAAAUGUCAUUGUCUUCCUUUCUUCCUUGUAUCUGCCAGUUUGUAUUCUGAUUUUUAUAUUGUGUUUAGAUGUUUCUUAUCUGGACUAAUGAGAGCCAGUUUAUAGUUCUUUGGCAUAUCAAAUUCCCACUGAAGUCUUGUCUUUUCAGGGUUUGGAAACUCUCCGUAAUACAGAAAAAUGACAAUUAUGUUCAUGAGAACUCUGUACUUAUACGGAGAUGAUUAAUUACAUUGACUUUCUUCAUUUGUCGUAUUGUUCCAGUAUGCCAAUUAAUGUGUCUGGCAGGGUACACAUGUUAGAAUGUUUUAAAUUUUAACUCUUGCAACUAAUACAGAAAUAAAAUUGCAUUUGCC